AUUGAACGCUGGCGGCAUGCUUUACACAUGCAAGUCGAACGGUAACAGGGAGCUUGCUCCGCUGACGAGUGGCGAACGGGUGAGUAAUGCGUCGGAACGUGCCGAGUAGUGGGGGAUAACGCAUCGAAAGGUGUGCUAAUACCGCAUACGUACUGAGGUAGAAAGUGGGGGACCUUCGGGCCUCACGCUAUUCGAGCGGCCGACGUCUGAUUAGCUAGUUGGUGAGGUAAAGGCUCACCAAGGCGACGAUCAGUAGCGGGUCUGAGAGGAUGAUCCGCCACACUGGGACUGAGACACUGCCCAGAAUCCUACGGGAGGGAGGAGUGGGGAAUUUUGGACAAUGGGCGCGAGCCUGAUCCAGCCAUGCCGCGUGGCGGAAGAAGGGCUUCGGGUUGUAAAGGACUUUUGUCCGGGAGCAAAUGCUGGUGGCUAACAUCCGCCGGAGCUGAGAGUACCGGAAGAAUAAGCACCGGCUAACUACGUGCCAGCCGCCGCAGUAACAC
rnacentral:rRNA from 1 species